rnacentral:lncRNA from 1 species
AAGGGUUGGAGGGUUUGCUCCUGUUGUUGAAGAGAAGUCGACACAGGUGCGGAUUGUGGGGAUGGAACUGUUUGUUGAGAAAAAGGUGGUAAAGGUGAUAAAGUAGGUGUAUUAUGUAUUACAUUAUGGGAAGCAGAUUGUGAGUGAGACAUUGAAUGUGAUGGAAAAGGUGUAGUGGAGGUAGGUGUUGAAUGUGAUGGGAUAGGUGUAGUGGAGGUAGGUGGCGUAUUUGGUGGAGGUGUAGGCAAAGUGCUAGAACACGAAACAUGAGGUGAAGGAACAACUAAAAGUUUAGCACUAACUUGUGGACUAGAAAUAGGUGAUGUGACUGGUGAAUAAUGACUUAUGUAUGGAAAAGUAGUUUCAUUAAAGGUGACAUGACGGGUGACAUAGACUUUGCCAUUGGGGUCUUUACAUUUAUAACCUUUAUGUACUGAGGAGUAACCUAGAAAAACACAGGGUAUUGAACGAAAUUGCAGCUUUGUUUUUGUGAACGGCCUAAGAUUUGGAAAACACAAGCAGCCAAAAGUUCGAAGAAAAGAAUAAUCAGGUUUCGUUUUAAACAAUUGCUCAUAUGGGGAUAUAUUACCUAGAGGUUGAGAUGGUAAUCGGUUAACCAGAAACACAGCACUACAGAAGGCUUCAUUCCAAAAACUUAAUGGCAUGGUGGCAUGAGCUAACAUAGACAAGCCUGUUUCAACCACCUGACGAUGCUUGCGUUCAACAAGUCCAUUUUGAGCAGACGUGUAUGGACAG